UACGGAGGGUGCAAGCGUUAAUCGGAAUUACUGGGCGUAAAGCGCGCGUAGGUGGUUGAUUAAGUCAGAUGUGAAAGCCCAGGGCUCAACCCUGGAACUGCAUUUGAAACUGGUCAACUAGAGUUUUGUAAAGGGUGGUAGAAUUACAGGUGUAGCGGUGAAAUGCGUAGAUAUCUGGAGGAACAUCAGUGGCGAAGGCGACUCCCUGGUCAGUAACUGACGCUCACGUGCGAGAGUGUGGGUAGCGAACAGG
rnacentral:misc_RNA from 1 species